rnacentral:lncRNA from 1 species
CAGCUGUAGUGAGAUCCAUGGAUGCAACAAGUUACAUGGCUCAGAGAAGUACAACUAAAGAGAGGAAGUUGAUUACAAACACACAGAAGAGCUAAAAGUUUUCUAUACAUUGUUCACUGGGUCCUCCUAGUAAAGCUAUGGAAUGGGGAUUAGGACAUGGCCAGAAACAAGCUGAAAUACCUUUGUAAAUUUUCCUAGGUCACACCUACUGACCUACAAACACAGGAGCUGAGCUUGGUGCAACGAAGCAAGUGAGUGUCUUGUGACAACUGUGGAACUGCUCCCAGGACAAUCAGCUGAAGUGAGAUGAGAAAUUCAAGUCCAAAAUGGCAAACAACUUGGCCAAAUCACGUGGGGUUGGAAGAGGAACUGGGGUUAGUAGCCAAGACUCAGGUCUCUGCUGCCCUGCUUCAGAGUAGGCACAGGGUCAGGGAGGACUUGCUGGUGCCUGGCAGAGAAAUAGAGAAGGUGCUCCAAGUGACACCAUCCCAGCCAAGACAUCAGACAUGUGGAAUGAGAAGUCACCUUGGAAGUGGUCCUCCAGUCCCAGCCAUCCCAGCUGAGGUGAGAAGCCUUAUGGGACAGAGAACACCCCUAUUCUGUCCAUUUAGAAUCUCUGACCCUCUGAACCUGGAGGUCGUGAUACAGUGGAGGUUGUUCUGCAUUCUCACUACUUAA